rfam:Enhygromyxa salina strain DSM 15201 ES-Contig_165, whole genome shotgun sequence.
GGGCUCGUAGCUCAGUUGGUAGAGCGACGGACUUUUAAUCCGUUGGUCGUAGGUUCGAGUCCUACCGGGCUCA